rnacentral:rRNA from 1 species
GACGAACGCUGGCGGCGCGCUUAACACAUGCAAGUCGAGCGAGAACCUGGGCUUCGGCCCUGGGGACAGCGGCGAACGGGUGAGUAACACGUGGGUAAUCUGCCCUUGACAUCGGGAUAGCCCGGGGAAACCCGGAUUAAUACCGAAUAGCCUCCGGAGCCUUCGGGCGCCGGAGCAAAGGUAGCUUCGGCCUCUGGUCGAGGAUGAGCCCGCGGCGGAUUAGCUUGUUGGCGGGGUAACGGCCCACCAAGGCGACGAUCCGUAGCUGGUCUGAGAGGACGAUCAGCCACACUGGGACUGAGACACGGCCCAGACUCCUACGGGAGGCAGCAGUGGGGAAUCUUGCGCCAAUGCGGGAAACCGUGACGCAGCGACGCCGCGUGGGGGAAGAAGGCCUUCGGGUUGUAAACCUCUUUCAGGAGGGACGAAGCCACUCGGGUGAAUAGCCCAGAGGGUGACGGUACCUCCAGAAGAAGCCCCGGCUAACUACGUGCCAGCCGCCGCGGUAA